GCGAUGAAGGACGUGCUAAUCUGCGAUAAGCGUCGGUAAGGUGAUAUGAACCGUUAUAACCGGCGAUUUCCGAAUGGGGAAACCCAGUGUGAUUCGUCACACUAUCAUUAACUGAAUCCAUAGGUUAAUGAGGCGAACCGGGGGAACUGAAACAUCUAAGUACCCCGAGGAAAAGAAAUCAACCGAGAUUCCCCCAGUAGCGGCGAGCGAACGGGGAGCAGCCCAGAGCCUGAAUCAGUGUGUGUGUUAGUGGAAGCGUCUGGAAAGGCGUGCGAUACAGGGUGACAGCCCCGUACACAAAAAUGCACAUGCUGUGAGCUCGAUGAGUAGGGCGGGACACGUGGUAUCCUGUCUGAAUAUGGGGGGACCAUCCUCCAAGGCUAAAUACUCCUGACUGACCGAUAGUGAACCAGUACCGUGAGGGAAAGGCGAAAAGAACCCCGGCGAGGGGAGUGAAAAAGAACCUGAAACCGUGUACGUACAAGCAGUGGGAGCACGCUUAGGCGUGUGACUGCGUACCUUUUGUAUAAUGGGUCAGCGACUUAUAUUCUGUAGCAAGGUUAACCGAAUAGGGGAGCCGAAGGGAAACCGAGUCUUAACUGGGCGUUAAGUUGCAGGGUAUAGACCCGAAACCCGGUGAUCUAGCCAUGGGCAGGUUGAAGGUUGGGUAACACUAACUGGAGGACCGAACCGACUAAUGUUGAAAAAUUAGCGGAUGACUUGUGGCUGGGGGUGAAAGGCCAAUCAAACCGGGAGAUAGCUGGUUCUCCCCGAAAGCUAUUUAGGUAGCGCCUCGUGAAUUCAUCUCCGGGGGUAGAGCACUGUUUCGGCAAGGGGGUCAUCCCGACUUACCAACCCGAUGCAAACUGCGAAUACCGGAGAAUGUUAUCACGGGAGACACACGGCGGGUGCUAACGUCCGUCGUGAAGAGGGAAACAACCCAGACCGCCAGCUAAGGUCCCAAAGUCAUGGUUAAGUGGGAAACGAUGUGGGAAGGCCCAGACAGCCAGGAUGUUGGCUUAGAAGCAGCCAUCAUUUAAAGAAAGCGUAAUAGCUCACUGGUCGAGUCGGCCUGCGCGGAAGAUGUAACGGGGCUAAACCAUGCACCGAAGCUGCGGCAGCGACGCUGAUGCGUUGUUGGGUAGGGGAGCGUUCUGUAAGCCUGCGAAGGUGUGCUGUGAGGCAUGCUGGAGGUAUCAGAAGUGCGAAUGCUGACAUAAGUAACGAUAAAGCGGGUGAAAAGCCCGCUCGCCGGAAGACCAAGGGUUCCUGUCCAACGUUAAUCGGGGCAGGGUGAGUCGACCCCUAAGGCGAGGCCGAAAGGCGUAGUCGAUGGGAAACAGGUUAAUAUUCCUGUACUUGGUGUUACUGCGAAGGGGGGACGGAGAAGGCUAUGUUGGCCGGGCGACGGUUGUCCCGGUUUAAGCGUGUAGGCUGGUUUUCCAGGCAAAUCCGGAAAAUCAAGGCUGAGGCGUGAUGACGAGGCACUACGGUGCUGAAGCAACAAAUGCCCUGCUUCCAGGAAAAGCCUCUAAGCAUCAGGUAACAUCAAAUCGUACCCCAAACCGACACAGGUGGUCAGGUAGAGAAUACCAAGGCGCUUGAGAGAACUCGGGUGAAGGAACUAGGCAAAAUGGUGCCGUAACUUCGGGAGAAGGCACGCUGAUAUGUAGGUGAAGCGACUUGCUCGUGGAGCUGAAAUCAGUCGAAGAUACCAGCUGGCUGCAACUGUUUAUUAAAAACACAGCACUGUGCAAACACGAAAGUGGACGUAUACGGUGUGACGCCUGCCCGGUGCCGGAAGGUUAAUUGAUGGGGUCAGCGCAAGCGAAGCUCUUGAUCGAAGCCCCGGUAAACGGCGGCCGUAACUAUAACGGUCCUAAGGUAGCGAAAUUCCUUGUCGGGUAAGUUCCGACCUGCACGAAUGGCGUAAUGAUGGCCAGGCUGUCUCCACCCGAGACUCAGUGAAAUUGAACUCGCUGUGAAGAUGCAGUGUACCCGCGGCAAGACGGAAAGACCCCGUGAACCUUUACUAUAGCUUGACACUGAACAUUGAGCCUUGAUGUGUAGGAUAGGUGGGAGGCUUUGAAGUGUGGACGCCAGUCUGCAUGGAGCCGACCUUGAAAUACCACCCUUUAAUGUUUGAUGUUCUAACGUGGACCCGUGAUCCGGGUUGCGGACAGUGUCUGGUGGGUAGUUUGACUGGGGCGGUCUCCUCCUAAAGAGUAACGGAGGAGCACGAAGGUUGGCUAAUCCUGGUCGGACAUCAGGAGGUUAGUGCAAUGGCAUAAGCCAGCUUGACUGCGAGCGUGACGGCGCGAGCAGGUGCGAAAGCAGGUCAUAGUGAUCCGGUGGUUCUGAAUGGAAGGGCCAUCGCUCAACGGAUAAAAGGUACUCCGGGGAUAACAGGCUGAUACCGCCCAAGAGUUCAUAUCGACGGCGGUGUUUGGCACCUCGAUGUCGGCUCAUCACAUCCUGGGGCUGAAGUAGGUCCCAAGGGUAUGGCUGUUCGCCAUUUAAAGUGGUACGCGAGCUGGGUUUAGAACGUCGUGAGACAGUUCGGUCCCUAUCUGCCGUGGGCGCUGGAGAACUGAGGGGGGCUGCUCCUAGUACGAGAGGACCGGAGUGGACGCAUCACUGGUGUUCGGGUUGUCAUGCCAAUGGCACUGCCCGGUAGCUAAAUGCGGAAGAGAUAAGUGCUGAAAGCAUCUAAGCACGAAACUUGCCCCGAGAUGAGUUCUCCCUGACUCCUUGAGAGUCCUGAAGGAACGUUGAAGACGACGACGUUGAUAGGCCGGGUGUGUAAGCGCAGCGAUGCGUUGAGCUAACCGGUACUAAUGAACCGUGAGGCUUAACCUU
rnacentral:rRNA from 1 species